rnacentral:tRNA from 1 species
AGCAGGGUAGCCUAGUGGAAAGAGCAUGGGCCCGAGAAUCAGAAGACCUGGGUUCUAAUCCCGGCUCUGCCA